UGCUCACUGAUGGUCUUCCAACUCACC
rnacentral:piRNA from 1 species